GAAGGGCGAAACGCUCUGAAGUUCCCUCUCUGGCUCCCAUUGCGGGCGAUGAUCCUGCCGCCCUGCCAGCCCCGGGGCGUACCCGGGGUCCCACCGCGGCCAAGAAGAGGGCUGUGCCACCCUCAUCACCAAAUACUUUAUUUCCAGAGGAAGUGGUGGUGGGGGUGGGGGACGUAUCCCAGGUUGUGGAGAAAGGAGGGCGCCAGGGAGGUUUAUUACAACCGCUAACGGGGCAGUCCCGCUUCCUUUCUGUAGUCUGAGUUAGAGUCUGUUCCCGCUUUACCGAGUCCCGAGGAAGAGUGACUUUGCUCUCUCAGCCUCAGUUGCUUCCGUUGUAGAAUGGGAUUAAGUUUUCACCUACCUUAUGGGGUGUUAAGGACAAAAUGAAAUGUCCUGGGAAACCUAGAAGGAACUCGGCCCCCAUGAGGAGAAGGGGAGGCGGCCUGCGGGGGGGACCUGGCCUUCUGUCCUGGGGAUACAGCGUCCUUCACCCCUAGGAGCAGACAGACAUGGCCCACGGCUGCUGAAACAGGACCCAGCUUUUCUUCUGCCCCACAGUGGGGCAGACGCAGACCCUGGAGGAGAGUCUUGCCUUCUCUCCCUUUUCAGGUCCCUAAAAGAAUUCUCUGAAGGCUGGACUUAGGAUCCUGCCUUCUCCCCCAGUUUAUCCCACCUACCUUGCUGCUAGUGAAGAUCUUUGAAGGGGAAAAAGGGAAAAAAAAAAAAAAAAACCUUGCACAUUGUGAAAAAGAUAUGAGAUGGAAGGGAAAAGAAGGGAGUUGCAGUCAUUCAGACAGAGGUUCCUGGCUCUGAACCUUACAGACCUCUGAGUGGGAAAGGAGAGAAAGGAGCAGCUGUGGUGCCUGUGGAGGAAAGUAGGAGAAUCUGGGCUUCAUGGAGUCCAGAGAGCUCCUGCUGCCUGUGCCUGGCAGGCUGCAUACACACAUCUCGCGUCCUGCCCGUGUCCUGGGUCUGCAUCGUGGUGCCCUUCCGUGCAGAUUUGAUGGACUUCUCUGCUCUUCUUGGAAACAUGUAAGCAGAAACUGGGCCAGAGAAACCACCCCUGAAUGAAGAAAAGGAUGUGGCACUGGCUGGGUCAUACCAUGGAACAUACAGGAUAUUAGUUCCCCAACCAGGGAUCGAACCUGUGCCCCCUUAAAUGGAAGUGUGAAGUCCUAACCACUGAGCUGCCAGGGAAGUCCUAAACACCUGUGUUAAAUAUCUUCUCCUCCAGUCUCAGAGGAUGGUGUUCAUCUUCCCUUCCCUACUGAGACUUAUUAGUAAUACUUUCUCUUUGUUGUAUCUUCAGACACUGAAUACUAAUUGAAAGAUAUGCCCUUUCAAUUAGUUCUGUUGGUCCCAGCCUAUAAACAUUUUAAACUCUCCCAUUUUGGGGGAAGAAAACAGUUAACUGUUACAGUGAACUGUUGUAUCAAUAGACUCCUCCUUCCAAGUCUCCCAGUGUUCACAAGCUCCAUAGGCCCUCCCAUGUGGACUCUAGGUUUGACCAUGUAAUUUGCUUUGGGUAAAGGGUUAUUGGCAGAUGUGAUGCAAGUAGAGGGUUGGCAAUACUGAGCUUAUCUCUCUUAAGUUUACAGUAAGUUCCCUACAUACCAACAAGCUCCAUCCCAAGAGUAUGUUCAUAAGUCCAAUUUGUUCAUUAAGUCCAAUGAAGUUAGCCUAAGUACCCAACUAACACGAUCUACUGUAUAGUACUGUAUUAUAAUAGUAGGUUUAUAAUACUUUUCACACAGAAAAUACAUAACAAACAAAAAAUAAAGAGAACAUUUUUAAUCUUACAGCACAGCACCUUGAAAAGUACAGUAGUACAGAACAACAGCUGGCACUUUUUAGCAGUACCUGCUGCAUCACUGUUGCUUUCCCACUUGCUUCUGGAAAUCCUGGGCUUGAAAUAAAGAUACUGUACUGCUGUACAGUAAAGUACACACCAGCACAGCCACUUGUAGAGGAUGCAUGCACGUGACAAUGGACGCCUGACAUGUGAACUAAUUCACGUGAUAGGGCAUGUUCUCAACUUUCAAAGUUCACAAGUUGAAAGUUUGUAUGUAGGAGACUUACUGCAUUCCCUUUUGGAGCCCAGCCACCAUGUUAUAAGGAAGCCUAGGCUGUUCUGCUAGAGAGAAUGGCCAUGUGGAAGAGGCCCUGUAGCAUGACUGACCAGUUUGGGAGAGAGGAUCUGCGAUCACGUGGACAGAGAAACCUGGUGUCCCAACUAGCCCAAGCACAUGACCCACCAGUUGAAUAUAGCCCAAGACUGACCACAGGAGAGCUGACCAGCAGAAGAGCUACUAGAGCAAUUGAUAGGAUCCUGAGAAAUGAUAUAUCUUUAAGUCAUAACUUUUAGAAUUAUGUCUGAAACAACCCUGUACAACAAAAAAACCAGAACAUCCCUUUGAAUCUCACACCUUCUCCACUCUUUCCUCUUCUUCUUGUCCUAGCUUUUCAGGUAGUCUACACUUGUUGCUCACUUCCUUGUUCCCAUCCACUGUUCACACUGUCCUCCGCUGUAUUAGUCUCUGUGGACCACAACUUGCCUGAGUUCCACAGCGUCUCGUGCUCCUGGUUCUCCUCGUUCCUCUCUCACCAGAUAUUUUCCAUGAGCUUCGUGGGUUCCUCUUUCUCCACCUGCACUUUGGAUGUUCCUCAGGGUCUGUCCUCAAUCAUCUGUUGUUUGUACUUCACACUCUGCCUACUUUGGUUUAGACCCUGCACUUACAGUGUAAACAGUAUACACUGUCCUAAGCCUGUAGGCCACUAUUGUGUAUAGUAGUUUUUUUCUAAGCAAGCUUGCCUCCAUGUCUCUGCUCCUAUCUCUCUGUUUUUAAAAAGAUACUUACUUAUCUGUCUGUGUCGGGUCUUGGUUGCGGCACACAGGCUCUCUAGUUGUGUCAUGCAGACUUAGUUGCCUGGCAGCAUGUGGGAUGUUAGUUCCCCAGGAUUGAACCCAUGUCCCUGUAUUGGAAGGUGGAUUCUUAACCACUGAACCACCAGGGAAUUCCUUCCACUCCUGUCUCUUUUGCCUGGAAUAACCUCAUCAGCUGAGGUGGAACAUUGCGGCCCCCACCUCCCUAUUGGCUAAUUCCCACUCUUUAGGCUUAAUUUAAGCUCAUGGUUCUCCAAGAAGUCUUUGCUGAAAGUUCUCUGUUUUCCUUUUCUAGGCUGGGCUAGAUGUCCCUAUUCCUUGCUAUACUCUGAGAAUAGGUUUUCUUUGCAUGUAACACAUUUAAAUUGUUCUCUUACAUGUCCUCCCCAUCUAUUAGAUUCUGCUCCUUGAUGACAAAGGCCAUAUCUUACUAAUUUAGUAUCUCCCACGGUUUAGCAUAAAUGCUUGGUGUAUCAUCUUUGCCCAGUAAUAGAUGUUCAAUGAAUGAUUGUUGAGAGACUGAAUUAUAGCAUCAAUAUCCUUUGGAAUUCUGUUUCAUUUUAGGUUUUCAUAUCUCUAUUUAUAAGGGAAAUUGGCCGAUAAUUGUGUGUAUGUAAGUCAAAGAAAUUUGGAGUCCAUGGACGUGUUUGUUUUAUAACAUCAAUUGGUAGCUUCCCAUUUUCCCCAAUGCUAUGGAAAAGUUAUUUCUUUUUUUAACAUGGAAAUUAUGUUUCUCUAAGAUUUCACAGCAUUCAAACCUGCUGGUCACAUAGAUGGCAAAUAGGUGGGCAAACUGAUGGGCAAAUAGAUGGGGAAACAGUGGCUGACCUUAUUUUUCUGGGCUCCAA